GAUGAACGCUGGCGGCGUGCCUAAUACAUGCGAGUCGAGCGAACGGACGAGAAGCUUGCUUCUCUGAUGUUAGCGGCGGACGGGUGAGUAACACGUGGAUAACCUACCUAUAAGACUGGGAUAACUUCGGGAAACCGGAGCUAAUACCGGAUAAUAUUUUGAAACGCAUGGUUCAAAAGUGAAAGACGGUCUUGCUGUCACUUAUAGAUGGAUCCGCGCUGCAUUAGCUAGUUGGUAAGGUAACGGCUUACCAAGGCAACGAUGCAUAGCCGACCUGAGAGGGUGAUCGGCCACACUGGAACUGAGACACGGUCCAGACUCCUACGGGAGGCAGCAGUAGGGAAUCUUCCGCAAUGGGCGAAAGCCUGACGGAGCAACGCCGCGUGAGUGAUGAAGGUCUUCGGAUCGUAAAACUCUGUUAUUAGGGAAGAACAUAUGUGUAAGUAACUGUGCACAUCUUGACGGUACCUAAUCAGAAAGCCACGGCUAACUACGUG
rnacentral:rRNA from 1 species